rnacentral:rRNA from 1 species
UAGGGAAUCUUCGGCAAUGGACGAAAGUCUGACCGAGCAACGCCGCGUGAGUGAAGAAGGUUUUCGGAUCGUAAAACUCUGUUGUUAGAGAAGAACAAGGACGUUAGUAACUGAACGUCCCCUGACGGUAUCUAACCAGAAAGCCACGGCUAACUACGUGCCAGCAGCCGCGGUAAUACGUAGGUGGCAAGCGUUGUCCGGAUUUAUUGGGCGUAAAGCGAGCGCAGGCGGUUUCUUAAGUCUGAUGUGAAAGCCCCCGGCUCAACCGGGGAGGGUCAUUGGAAACUGGGAGACUUGAGUGCAGAAGAGGGGGGUGGAAUUCCAUGUGUAGCGGGGAAAUGCGUAGAUAUAUGGAGGAACACCAGUGGCGAAGGCGGCUCUCUGGUCUGUAACUGACACUGAGGCUCGAAAGCGUGGGGAGCAAACAGG